rnacentral:rRNA from 1 species
CCUCCGCAUCGGGAUGGGCCCGCGGUGCAUUAGCUAGUUGGUGGGGUAACGGCCUACCAAGGCGACGAUGCAUAGCUGGUCUGAGAGGACGAUCAGCCACACUGGGACUGAGACACGGCCCAGACUCCUACGGGAGGCAGCAGUGGGGAAUCUUCCGCAAUGGACGAAAGUCUGACGGAGCAACGCCGCGUGAGUGAUGACGGCCUUCGGGUUGUAAAGCUCUGUUAAUCGGGACGAAAGGCCUUCUUGCGAAUAGUUAGAAGGAUUGACGGUACCGGAAUAGAAAGCCACGGCUAACUACGUGCCAGCAGCCGCGGUAAUACGUAGGUGGCAAGCGUUGUCCGGAAUUAUUGGGCGUAAAGCGCGCGCAGGCGGAUCAGUCAGUCUGUCUUAAAAGUUCGGGGCUUAACCCCGUGAUGGGAUGGAAACUGCUGAUCUAGAGUAUCGGAGAGGAAAGUGGAAUUCCUAGUGUAGCGGUGAAAUGCGUAGAUAUUAGGAAGAACACCAGUGGCGAAGGCGACUUUCUGGACGAAAACUGACGCUGAGGCGCGAAAGCCAGGGGAGCGAACGGGAU